GUCGAGCGGUAAGGCCUUUCGGGGUACACGAGCGGCGAACGGGUGAGUAACACGUGGGUGAUCUGCCCUGCACUCUGGGAUAAGCCUGGGAAACUGGGUCUAAUACCGGAUAUGACCGCAUGCUUCAUGGUGUGUGGUGGAAAGAUUUAUCGGUGCAGGAUGGGCCCGCGGCCUAUCAGCUUGUUGGUGGGGUAAUGGCCUACCAAGGCGACGACGGGUAGCCGACCUGAGAGGGUGACCGGCCACACUGGGACUGAGACACGGCCCAGACUCCUACGGGAGGCAGCAGUGGGGAAUAUUGCACAAUGGGCGGAAGCCUGAUGCAGCGACGCCGCGUGAGGGAUGAAGGCCUUCGGGUUGUAAACCUCUUUCAGCAGGGACGAAGCGUGAGUGACGGUACCUGCAGAAGAAGCACCGGCUAACUACGUGCCAGCAGCCGCGGUAAUACGUAGGGUGCGAGCGUUGUCCGGAAUUACUGGGCGUAAAGAGUUCGUAGGCGGUUUGUCGCGUCGUUUGUGAAAACCCGGGGCUCAACUUCGGGCUUGCAGGCGAUACGGGCAGACUUGAGUGUUUCAGGGGAGACUGGAAUUCCUGGUGUAGCGGUGAAAUGCGCAGAUAUCAGGAGGAACACCGGUGGCGAAGGCGGGUCUCUGGGAAACAACUGACGCUGAGGAACGAAAGCGUGGGUAGCAAACAGGAUUAGAUACCCUGGUAGUCCACGCCGUAAACGGUGGGCGCUAGGUGUGGGUUCCUUCCACGGGAUCUGUGCCGUAGCUAACGCAUUA
rnacentral:rRNA from 1 species